rnacentral:ncRNA from 1 species
CGAGGGGGGCCGCCCGCAGGCGGCUGAGAUGAACCUGAUGCCGGUUCACCACCCUUACAACCUGAUCCGGGUCAUGCCGGCGAAGGGACGGGCAU